rnacentral:rRNA from 1 species
GACGAACGCUGGCGGCGUGCUUAACACAUGCAAGUCGAACGGAAAGGCCUCUUUCGGGGGGUACUCGAGUGGCGAACGGGUGAGUAACACGUGAGUAACCUGCCCUUGACUUUGGGAUAACUUCAGGAAACUGGGGCUAAUACCGGAUAGGAGCUCCUGCUGCAUGGUGGGGGUUGGAAAGUUUCGGCGGUUGGGGAUGGACUCGCGGCUUAUCAGCUUGUUGGUGGGGUAGUGGCUUACCAAGGCUUUGACGGGUAGCCGGCCUGAGAGGGUGACCGGCCACAUUGGGACUGAGAGACGGCCCAGACGCCGACGGGAGGCAGCAGUGGGGAAUAUUGCACAAUGGGUGGAAGCCGGAUGCAGCAACGCCGUGUGCGGGAGGACGGCCUUCGGGUUGGAAACCGCUUUCGCUCAUGACGAAGCUUUGUGUGACGGUAGUGGGUAAAGAAGCACCGGCUAACUACGUG